UACGGGGGGGGUAAGCGUUGUUCGGAAUCACUGGGCUUAAAGGGAGCGUAGGCGGGCUAUCAAGUCUGGGGUGAAAUGGCCACGGCUCAACCGUGGAACUGCCUCAGAUACUGACGGCCUCGAGGGAGAUAGGGGCAUGCGGAACUGUAGGUGGAGCGGUGAAAUGCGUUGAUAUCUACAGGAACUCCGGUGGCGAAAGCGGCGUGCUGGAUCUCUUCUGACGCUGGAGGCUACGAAAGCUAGGGGAGCAAACGGG
rnacentral:rRNA from 1 species